GACCGCUUAGGUGGCAUAAGUGGUUAUAGCGUCCGCCUCGAGAGCAAGAUGUUCCAGGUUCGAACCCUGGCCGAGUCA